rnacentral:rRNA from 1 species
UACGAAGGGGGCUAGCGUUGCUCGGAAUGACUGGGCGUAAAGGGUGCGUAGGCGGGUCUUUAAGUCAGGGGUGAAAUCCUGGAGCUCAACUCCAGAACUGCCUUUGAUACUGAGGACCUUGAGUUCGGGAGAGGUGAGUGGAACUGCGAGUGUAGAGGUGAAAUUCGUAGAUAUUCGCAAGAACACCAGUGGCGAAGGCGGCUCACUGGCCCGAUACUGACGCUGAGGCACGAAAGCGUGGGGAGCAAACAGG